rnacentral:rRNA from 1 species
GGGUUAAGUCCCGUUAACGAGCGCAACCCUUGUCCUUAGUUACCAGCACGUUAUGGUGGGCACUCUAAGGAGACUGCCGGUGACAAACCGGAGGAAGGUGGGGAUGACGUCAAGUCAUCAUGGCCCUUACGGCCUGGGCUACACACGUGCUACAAUGGUCGGUACAAAGGGUUGCCAAGCCGCGAGGUGGAGCUAAUCCCAUAAAACCGAUCGUAGUCCGGAUCGCAGUCUGCAACUCGACUGCGUGAAGUCGGAAUCGCUAGUAAUCGUGAAUCAGAAUGUCACGGUGAAUACGUUCCCGGGCCUU